CUACAUGGGUUUGAUUGACCAUGAAUUUUUUGGUGUCAAAAUAAGUUUAUGUUAUUCUUCUACUGGAAUUAAGUUGGGCUUUCGGUCUUGUGUGAAAAAGCUGCAUCUAUUGUUGUACUUCUAUAACAUUGACUUCUGUCUGUUAAGUUUGUGUUAGAAUGUGCUUCCCUUAUUCUUUUCCACUAUCAGAUAGGUUAUGUUCUGGGAACCAUAUAUUUUUGCCACUCGUGAGUGUUAGGAUCAGAUUUCCAUGGUCCAAUGGUAAAUUUUGUUCUUUCUUCUUCUAAAGGAAAAGAAAGUUUCCACAGGGCUACAUUUUGUCAGUGAAGUUCUUAGAGCUAAAUCUAUUCUUUAGGCACACAGACUGGGCCUCAAGAAUAAACUUGAGAAGAAUAUCCGUUAGGCACACAGAUUGGGCCUUGAGAACAAGCUUGAGAAGAAUUUAUCUUAUUUUAGAGUAAAAAACCUUUUUGAUAAUCUGAAAAAAUGUUUAAGCAGUCAAAUAGGCUUCAUUCUUAAAGCAGUGAAGCAAAGAUAAGUUUAUGUAAACCACAUUGACCUGCUGCAACUCAUCGAAGACACUGAGGAUAUUGAAUAUGACACCAUUGUAAGACUCUUGGAACUGGUCUCGUCCCAAGGCAUGCCCUUCCUCAGGCUGAAGAUACUAUGACAGACAUUGUCAACAAAACUUUGAAUUUAAAGACACCCUGAUUAGGGAAGAGGUAGGAGCGAUAUACAAGAGUCUGCAGUGGCAAAAAAGGAACAUGUUAUGUUAUAUUAUCAUCAGUGAAGGCAUUGUCCACAUACAGGAAAAUAGUAGUGAAUCUUUUGCAUUUCCCCGGUUCAUUGAAUCAGGAAAAUGCUUGGUUCUAUGAUCUCCUUUUUUAACAUGAUUUUUAUCUAAAUAUAUUUCCCUUUCAUUGAUCAAAUUUACUAGGGAGGAUUUCUGUUGUAGGCUUUGUGUGUUUGUGUGUUUUGUUCAUUUACAAUUCAUACGAUACACAAAUUGAAAAUCUGAAGAACUCAGAUUUUCACAAGCACUCUGACUCUCGACUGUUGUUUCCCUUGAUUGUUUUCGCUGGAUGUAGCCUUUUUCUUUAAAGUACUAUGUAAUCGUUACAGAUCUGUACGUAAAAUCACCACAAAUUAGUAAGCACCGAACUAUCUUAGAAUGACACCCUUAAUAUCAACCUUUUGUGUCUUGUCUUUCUAAUCUGUGCUAGUUGUAGUCAUCACAAAGAAAUCAGAGCUGGAUGGCAAUGUUAACUUGAAUCGGUGAACUAUGUUGAAAGCCUACACUACUAAUAUUCCUUGAGUAACACUUUUGCUCGCAUUUGCUUGCACAUCCAUGCAACCAAGCCAGACUUGGUGCAACCUCUGGAUCACAUUUUUGUACUUACAAUUACAUUUUGUUCUUAUUGGACUUUAGUAUAUUGUUUUUGUUGUCAUAAUGAUGUAAAGUUUAGCUCCCUACUGAUGCAAAGAUCAAAAUGAUGGUGCAUAAACCAAAUAGCUUUCUUAAACUUUUAGCUUCAUUUUAUUCAUUUUGAUUAUUGCACAUGGUUUUAAAUGCUGUAAUAUAUUAAAUAUUCUCAA